AUACGGAGGGAGCAAGCGUUAUUCGGAAUCACUGGGCGUAAAGGACGCGUAGGCGGGUUUGUAAGUCAGGUGUGAAAUCCUACAGCUCAACUGUAGAACUGCACUUGAAACUACAGACCCAGAGUAUGGAAGGGGCAGAUGGAAUUAGUGGUGUAGGGGUAAAAUCCGUAGAUAUCACUAGGAAUACCAAAAGCGAAGGCGAUCUGCUGGGACAUUACUGACGCUGAGGCGUGAAAGCGUGGGGAGCAAACAGGAUUAGAAACCCUAGUAGUCC
rnacentral:rRNA from 1 species